rnacentral:lncRNA from 1 species
CUCUCUCUUUUUAAAUUUCUUUCCUUAUUUUCCCCUUCCUCAUCCUUUUUUGUUUGUUUCCCUUAAUCGGUAGGAAGAAAAAAAAAGGGACCUGGAUACAUCAGAUUCUCUGCCCCCUUCCCCCUAUUCUCUCUGAUUUCUGCGGUUCAGACUGUGUUGUAUCCCUUCGGGAAAGUAGUCUUUGGAAUUGGGUUCUGGUUUCGGUUUAGGUUGGAGGUGGGGCGGUGAGAGUCAGAGAGAGAAUGGGGCUUCUCAGAGGUUUUGUCCCACCGACCACGGUCUAAAGACUGGAUCCCCUUUGGACCGCCCAGGACCACACCGCGGCCUAACUGGCCUAACUGCCGGGCUCUCGGUGAGAGACGGGGAGAGCAAAGACCCCGGUCCACAACCUGGACCUCGACUCCCACCUCUCUCUGGCCGGAGGAGUGGAGAUCCUAUUCAGAGGGGCCCGUCUCUCUAAAUAUGCCCCAGGAUGACGGAGCAGCCGCCGAGCGAGGCGGCACAC